GUGGGGAAUCUUCCGCAAUGGACGAAAGUCUGACGGAGCAACGCCGCGUGAGUGAAGAAGGCCUUCGGGUCGUAAAGCUCUGUCAUCAGGGACGAAUGGCCGGUGGAGUGGAAAGCCACCGGAUUGACGGUACCUGAGAAGGAAGCCACGGCUAACUACGUGCCAGCAGCCGCGGUAAUACGUAGGUGGCAAGCGUUGUCCGGAAUUAUUGGGCGUAAAGCGCGCGCAGGUGGGAUCUUAAGUCCAUUUUGAAAGUUCGGAGCUCAACUCCGUGAUGGGAUGGAAACUGGGAUUCUUGAGUACCGGAGAGGAAAGCGGAAUUCCCCGUGUAGCGGUGAAAUGCGUAGAUAUGGGGAGGAACACCAGUGGCGAAGGCGGCUUUCUGGACGGUGUCUGACACUGAGGCGCGAAAGCCAGGGGAGCGAACGGGAUUAGAUACCCUAGUAGUCC
rnacentral:rRNA from 1 species